rnacentral:rRNA from 1 species
UACGGAGGGGGCUAGCGUUGUUCGGAAUUACUGGGCGUAAAGCGCACGUAGGCGGCUUUGUAAGUUAGAGGUGAAAGCCCGGGGCUCAACUCCGGAAUUGCCUUUAAGACUGCAUCGCUAGAACGUCGGAGAGGUAAGUGGAAUUCCGAGUGUAGAGGUGAAAUUCGUAGAUAUUCGGAAGAACACCAGUGGCGAAGGCGACUUACUGGACGACCGUUGACGCUGAGGUGCGAAAAGCGUGGGGAGCAAACAGGG